rfam:Schistosoma curassoni strain Dakar, Senegal genome assembly, scaffold: SCTD_scaffold0003786
AUCUAGCUGAUGAGUCCGAAAUAGGACGAAGUGUCGCGCGUCCCGGAU